AACGAACGCUGGCGGCAGGCUUAACACAUGCAAGUCGAGCGCCCCGCAAGGGGAGCGGCAGACGGGUGAGUAACGCGUGGGAAUCUACCCAUCUCUACGGAAUAACGCAUGGAAACGUGUGCUAAUACCGUAUACGUCCUUCGGGAGAAAGAUUUAUCGGAGAAGGAAUAGCCCGCGUUGGAUUAGGUAGUUGGUGGGGUAACGGCCUACCAAGCCUACGAUCCAUAGCUGGUUUGAGAGGAUGAUCAGCCACACUGGGACUGAGACACGGCCCAGACUCCUACGGGAGGCAGCAGUGGGGAAUCUUAGACAAUGGGGGAAACCCUGAUCUAGCCAUGCCGCGUGAGUGAUGAAGGCCUUAGGGUUGUAAAGCCCUUUCACCGGUGAAGAUAAUGACGGUAACCGGAGAAGAAGCCCCGGCUAACUUCGUGCCAGCCGCCGCGGUAAUAC
rnacentral:rRNA from 1 species